GAUCCAGUUUCUGGAAAAACCCCACAUCCCAAGCAUUCUGGUUAAUAGAUACUGUACAUGUGAAUCAAUACCAAGAUUUUAGACCACUGUGUCCCUAAUGUUCUGUUAAAAAUAUAGCUAGAAUAACAGCCAUAAAGCGUGACACUACUGCUGCCAUGUGAGAGAAACCAAGGAGGUUUAACCAUUUACACUUUAAUCUGCAAGCUCCAUUAUUAGACAAAAUGUACGUUGAAUAAUAUUACACAUAGUUUAAGGCCCAUUGCUCCAUCCUUUUUAUUGAAACAGAUAGAGUGGUGCAGCAUCACACUGCUCUGUUGUCCGUUUCAGACAAACAUUUUGCAGGAUUUAUGAGUUUUGCAGGAUUUAUGAGCUGCAACUCAAUACCAGCCAAAAUCACAAAAUAGCAUCAGGGUAGAGAAGGCUUAAAGCUGAAGUGUGCCAUCUGGCAUGAUAUCACCUAUGUGUAUGGCAAAUCCAGGCUGUAGAUGUGAAUUUUAUAGUUCGCUGUGAAAAUGGGAAUAUUGUAAAUUCAAGUGGACUUCUGUUUCUGCUGACACGACUUUGUCUUGGGGGCACAGACAGCUUUGAAGAAGCUUAUUAAAGGAAUGCGCAGAAAAUCUGCUGGAAAUAAGACACGGCCUGAUUCCUACAGGCAGCUUGCUGGUGGCAGGCAUCCUUGUGUUUCAGAGCGGGUGGCACCCCUUAUGAUCUAAAGUUAGUUCCUGUACAACAAACAGAGACCUGCUUCAGCUUUUCUGCCCAGGUUAAAAUAAUCGUGCAAACCAGAUAAGGAGGGAUAGAAAUCACGUGUGAAGCAGUCCUGCAGUGCAUCAAUUCAUUUUUGUCAGGGAACCCUCUAGAGCAUUGCAUUUAACUAGCAAAUACUUGUAUUUCAACAUCUGUUACUAUCCAUUUAGAUAUUUUUUUUUCUAUCAUCCCAUUUAGAAAGCCUUCAGUAAAAGAAUCUGAACUGCGCAGCAUUGCUCAACUGGACUAUUAAUUGGCACAAUUCAUUUGUUGUUCCACUGCAAGCUGGCUGGAGGAACCUAGAAUGGUAUCUGAAAAUAUUUCCAGCACUUUAACAACUACCAGCAACAUCAGCAAUAUCUAUUGUAUGCAGCUUCCUUUCAUAUAGG